rnacentral:lncRNA from 1 species
UUGACUUCAUUGAAGUCACCUUCUCAGCUUCUCAUGGCAAAGGUGUCACUGUGGAUGACUGCAUCUCUCAAUCCUCUAUAGCCAUUAGCCAAAUCAUGGCAACAACUUGGGAAAACAAACAUGUCUUCCAUCUCUUUGUCCAUGUUUCUCAUUGAGAUGAGACGACUAGAAACCCUAGCUUCCAAAAACCACCAAUUGGAUUUAUUGCAAUUUCAGGUAUGCACCACUCAAUCUUCUUAAUUAAUUAUUCAAAAUCAAGUUAUUGUUCUUGAUUAAUUAGAUUAUAUUUGUUAGCAAUCAUUCGGUUUACCAUGCAUCGGUUACCAUUGCAACCAUAUAUAUGGAUUUUCUCUCUUUUUUUAUUCUUCUUCUAACUUUCUACAUUCUUCCCUAUUUUUCCACAUUCACUUCCCUUUCAAUCUACUACUUUCAUUGUUUUUUUUUCCCUAAAAAACUUUGUGGGAUUAGGUUAUUACUUUAGCUAGAAAUUUGCUCAGAAUCGAGGGUAGAUAGAUAUCUUUUCCAGAACGUGGUCGAGUUGCUCAUUGUUAUAGUGAGAUAUUUUAAAAGGUCAAAUUAUUUGAAUUAAUUUUGAUGAAUUAUAAAUUGUUUAAUUUGGUUUGUUUUCAAUUAUAUUGCAAUUUACCUCAUGUUUUGAGGUUGUACAACAUGGUUGUUGUUUUUUGCUUUUCGAUGUUAAAUAUUCAAAAAAUUUUUGUUGAUUUUGCCUUCCUAAUGUUAAAUGAUGUUAAAUAUUCUGAAUUUUUUUUGUUGAUUUUUGCUUUCUAAUGUUAAAUAUUUUGAACGUCUAAUUGAUGAAUUUUAGACGAAAAAAUGCAAUUACAGAUGUUCCUUAAUAGGUUUUCUUCGCUUACUUCAAGCUUUGAUUUGGGUUUAGUUUUUUAGCUUUGUUUUUCAAGAUUUCUGCAUCCUAAUGGUGUAGAGUAUAUGUUACAGCGAUUGAGGCAAUAACACUAUAGGCAAACGUGGGAGUCUACCAUUUUUAUAUCUUCAAAAUAUAAGGAAAAACACACAUACAAGGCUUAAACACCCAUCUUGUUUUUUUUUUUUUUCCAAAAACCUUGUGGGAAUUUGGAUUAUUCCUUUAGUUUCUUAGGUAUUACAUCACACUAUGCUAUCGAAUAUAAUUUUCCUUUUUAAGAAAAACUCCCUCAUCUUUGAAUUUGGUAUAAUAAACUGAUUGAUUGCAUUUUUUAAUGUCAGUUCUCUAUUUAAUUUCUUUUCAUAUGGUUUCUCGGUAGCCAAGCAGGCUAUUAAGCAUUUCCUCUUUCCCUUUCAUAGAAAAAGAUGGAAUAGAAGCUUCUUUGGUAUAGGUUUCCAUGUGAUCAAAACAUUCUAUUAUAAUGGCGAUGUUUAUUUGCAUGUUGUAGUGGGUUAAUGUAAUCUUUAACAAUGAUUUGUACUAUUCCAUUAAGUUUUAGUAUGAAUUUUAAAUCAACUUUGUAUGCAUUCAUGAAUAUAUUGCGCUCUUGGAAUCAUAUGUUCUAGGUCAUAAAUAAUUUCAAUACCUCUUCUUUAUAUUUCUAUUGCAAUUCAAAUAUUGAAGACCCAGAAACGAAAUCUUCUUGUUACUACCAUAGCUCAAAUAGAGUUUUCAAAUACUGAAUGGUUCAAUGGAAUUGAUCUCUUGUUUUUUCCAAUUUGUUGUUUAUUUUGCUUCAUAAUUUUCCAAUGUUAUGAGAAGGGUUUACACAAGUUUAGUAGGUUAGUAGGAAAUUGUUUCAAAUGUCUAUGUAGUUUAAUGUUAGAUGUUGUUAAUUGAAUCCUUUUUGUUUAUUUGUUGGUGAAAAUAUCUAUUUAGAAGUUAUUAUACCAACUAAAACUCGUCAAGCAUUGGAUGUAAUUAACUGCGACUCAGGUAUGAGAAAAAAUUGUACCAUAAAUUGAUUUGUUUAUGCUCCAUUUGGUCCCAAAAAAUUUAGGAAAAAUUACUGGAGAAUGUUGAAAAUUAAUUACAAGAGACUAUUUUGGUAUUUUUCUUUCUUGCCCAAUGAUAUUUCUAAAACUUUCUAGGUGAAUCCUUAAAAUAGAGUUUGUCUUUCAAAUAAAGACCUUCUAUAUUUGUUGCCUCGCCAAGACAAAGUGGAAUUCUUAGGCUUGGGGGAGUGAGAUUUUUGUUUUGUUUUAAAAUUAUCAAAUGGUUUGGCAUCUUUUGUUGCAUAUGAAACAACUUACAAAAAUAUUGUUCUUAUUUUGGUUAUUUUGAAAGUGAGUUGUUGGAGUUAAGACAUGUUAGAUGAUGCAUUAUUGUGCAUAUAUCUAAGGUGUGCUUAGUGGGACAUGAUCACAUUCAUUGGUUAUUGGAGCUAAGUUAUUGAAUUCUAGAGAGCAAGUAAUAAUAAAAGUUGGAGUCAUUUUCCAAAUGUAGAUUAGAUAUAUGAUUCACUUGGCUUUUUUCUUUUUCUUUUUUAUCAUGGAGUACGGUUGACCUUGAAAUAUGUCUUUCCUUAUCCUCUAUUGAGUAACUGAGCUUUCCUAAUGAGAUAGUAGUUGACAAGUGAACUUAGUACAUUGAGUUAUAAGGUGUUGUUGCCUAUCAAAACAAUACUAAUAAUAAGAAUAAUGUUAAGUGGUUGAACAUCACACUCAAGGUUUAAAAUACCCAUUAACAUUGAUGAAUCCAAUUUUAAUAACAUAAGCAAACAGAGUGGUACUACAGAAUUACUUAGAAAAGCAAAAUUGAUAACAUGGGAUGAAGCACCAAUGACAAAGCAAUGGGAUAUUGAGGCAUUUGAUAGGACUUUAAAAGAUAUUAUGGAUACACACUUAGUAUUUGAUGGAAAGGUUAUUGUAUUUGGAAGAGAUUUUCGACAAGUACUAUCAAUUGUACCUCAAGGCAUAAAAGUUAAAACUAUUAAUACAAGUUUAGUCAUGUCUUAUCUUUGGCCUAAAAUGAAGAACUUAAGAUUAGCUACAAACAUGAGGUCUCAUUCCAAUACCAUUUUUAGUCACUUCCUUUUACAUGUUGGGAAUGGUGAUGAACCCAUAACAGAUGAAGAUAUGAUAGAAAUCCCUAAUGAAAUGUUGAUUAAAUAUGGAGAUGAAGAGAAUCCAGAAGAAUUUUUUAUUAACAACGACUUUCAUUUACUCAAAGAUCAUGCAUACUCAAUUGAAUAUAUCAUAAAACAAGAUAUCCUUGCAACAAAAAAUGACGAUGUUGAUAUGCUAAAUGAAAAGCUCAUUGAAAUUUUUGCAGAGGAAUCUAAAACAUAUUACAAUUUCGAUUUCACAGUUGAUAAUACUCAAAAUUAUUACCAAGAAGAAUUUUGAAUACAAUAACACCAAAUGGGCUUCCUCCUCAUAAGUUAGUCUUAAAGAAGAAUUGUCUUAUCAUGCUCUUACAGAACUUAGAUCCAUCAAAUGGACUUUGCAAUGGAACUAGAAUAAUGUGCAAAGGUUUUGAAUCAAAUGUAAUAUCUGCAAAAAUUAUAACAAGAAAAUAUGCUGGAAAACAAGUGUUACUUCCAAGAAUACCUUUUUCACCCGCAGAAAAUGAAGGAUACCCUUUUCAUUUCAAGUUAUCCCAAUUGCCAAUUCGACUUAGUUUUGCAAUAACUAUAAACAAAACACAAGGCCAAACAAUCCCAUAUGUCAGGGUAUAUUUACCACAAAAUGUCUUCUCGCAUGAUCAAUUAUAUGUUACAUUAUCAGGUGGUACUUCAAUGACAAUAACAAAAGUUCUCAUUAAACAAAGCACUCCUAAAUGUAUCAUUAGCAAAAGAUCUUAUACCAUGAAUAUGGUAUAUAAAGAAGUUUUAAUUCCAAGAAGGUCAUGAACCUAUCUAUGCUUUCUAUUUUUCAUUAUUUUAAUUAAUUAUUCCUCUUUUUUUUUUUUCAUAUUGUUAGAUUAGAUUUCUUGUCCUAACUAAUUUCAUUCUUCAAUAUUUUUGCAGCCACAAUGUCUAAUGAAGA